rnacentral:rRNA from 1 species
AUACGGAGGGUGCAAGCGUUACUCGGAAUCACUGGGCGUAAAGCGCGCGCAGGCGGCUAUUUAAGUUGGAUGUGAAAGCCUACGGCUCAACCGUAGAACUGCAUCCAAAACUAUUUAGCUAGCGUGUGGGAGAGGAAGAUGGAAUUAGUUGUGUAGGGGUAAAAUCCGUAGAGAUAACUAGGAAUACCAAAAGCGAAGGCAAUCUUCUGGAACACUACUGACGCUGAGGCGCGAAGGCGUGGGGAGCAAACAGGAUUAGAAACCCCAGUAGUCC